CAGUCGCCGCGGUAAUACGGAGGGAGCUAGCGUUGUUCGGAAUUACUGGGCGUAAAGCGCACGUAGGCGGCUUUGUAAGUCAGAGGUGAAAGCCUGGAGCUCAACUCCAGAACUGCCUUUGAGACUGCAUCGCUUGAAUCCAGGAGAGGUGAGUGGAAUUCCGAGUGUAGAGGUGAAAUUCGUAGAUAUUCGGAAGAACACCAGUGGCGAAGGCGGCUCACUGGACUGGUAUUGACGCUGAGGUGCGAAAGCGUGGGGAGCAAACAGGAUUAGAUACCCCUGUAGUCCCUGUCUCUUAUAC
rnacentral:rRNA from 1 species